rnacentral:rRNA from 1 species
GACGUAGGGGGCGAGCGUUGUUCGGAAUUACUGGGCGUAAAGCGCACGUAGGCGGAUUUGUAAGUCAGGGGUGAAAUCCCGGGGCUCAACCUCGGAACUGCCUUUGAUACUGCAAAUCUCGAGUCCGGAAGAGGUGAGUGGAAUUCCUAGUGUAGAGGUGAAAUUCGUAGAUAUUAGGAAGAACACCAGUGGCGAAGGCGGCUCACUGGUCCGGUACUGACGCUGAGGUGCGAAAGCGUGGGGAGCAAACAGG